UAAGAAGCAUUGCUUCUCCCUGGGAUGGAUCUGGAGGAAGGUCCAGUAGUUUGGAAGUGGCUGUGGCCAGGAAGCAGAGUUAGAGGAAUAAGGUUAAGUCCUGUAGUGAGCCACAGAGCAGAGAAGAGCCCUGAGCUAGGAUCUGUGAGGAUGCGGGAAAAACAAAAGGCCAAUUAUAGGCUAGAAGGACAGCAUAAGAUUACUUAAACUCCUAGCAGGGAAAAACCUGGUGAGUUAGUACCCUGAUAAGUGGAAAAAUUGAAGUUGAACCCAAGAAGGGCAAGGACCUUUGGUUUGGAGCUGAAUCCCGGAAGGAGGCUGAACUGUUGUGUGACUUUGCCACAGGACUGAGCCACAGAAGAUCCAGGAAGGUAGUCUGGCAAAAAGAUUGCCCGGGACUCGUCAUCGUGGCCGAGAAAGUGAUCAACAGAGGGAGUGUAAGAGAAAAGGACCCUACAAUGCUGCAUUAAGACAGGAGGAGGUGCUCUGGAGUACAUUGGGGGUCAUAAUGAUAGAAUCCUGGAGAAUUCAGGAACCAUUUUUACCAUCAGCUGACAUCCAGAGGCGGCUGAGUCUGGAUUCCCAUAAGGAAGGAAGUAGAGCUGCUGGCCAGUGGAAGAAAGAAGAAACACCACACUAGAAAACUCCUUUUUUUUUUUUUCAAGAUGGCAGCAGCAUGUCUGAAUAUUCUCAGCUACAUUCAAAGACAUCUGUCAACUCCUUAACUACAGGAGCAGAGUCUCUCCCCUGACAUCUAGUGACACACUAGGAGAAAAGACUUCAGAAGCUGUCCAUAUUUGCACAGACAUACCUACUCUGCUGAGGUGUUCAGCAAACAGAACAGCCUGCCUAAAGUGAUCAGUUUUGGCUGAUUUUUAGAUUACAAUUCACUUCAGGAUUGAAUGCAGGGAAAAAGACAUGGAAUCCUUAUUGUAUGAGUAAAGGGCAGCAGAACAGUGCUUAGCAUGCCCUGAUUGAUGGUGUCACCUCAAACUGAACCUCAUUUGCUAAAAAGGGGAUAUGGAUGCCAAAUCCCAGUGAAGGGAUGUGGAGGGGACCGGUGUUCUAUCUGAUGAUGUGGACUCUGCCUAAAGAGUCCUAGACAACAUUUGACCUUCCCCUCUCUACUAUUCAAAGACAACUGAUUGGACUCUGACUCUGGACUGUUGUUUCUGUUCAGUGAUUACUAGAGCUGAAAUCACUGAGGAGCCGGCCUAGGGGCUAAAUCUUAAACAUGGUAUAGGGACAGCAUUGCAGUGAAAGACAGCAAAGAGAGUGCAGCAUAGAGGCUCUCUGAUAGCUCAGCUCUUUGUGAUUUUACUGAGUAAGUGGGGGAACCUCAGAACUCAGCAUCGUUGGAGUGGCAGUGAGUGACUAGCAGCAGCAGAGAUGAGUGAUGGCAGAGAAUAAGAGCAGAAGAGAAGUGGCAGAGGUAACAGUGGUAGCAGCAGUGAGCCAGUUGCAGAGAUAGCGGCAGCAGAAGCAUGACUUGCCUGCCCUCCCCCACCUUUUUCAGUGGUGGAAGUGGACCCAUGUGAAUGCACCUCUGAACUCUGGGUCCUUUUCUGAUUAAGGAUAACCAACUAUGGGUGGGGUGCAGUGAAGGGAAAGGGGAGUGGUGUAGUAAAUGGACAUUUGUUCACUGGACUUUCAAAAUGCAAGGUGGAUAUUAUGGGGAGGGUGUUUGCUUAAGGUUACUUGCUUUUGAAUUGGGGUUUGGUGUUAUCCCAAAUUAA